ACGGAUCCCAAAUCCCUGGAAGUGUCCAAGGCCAGGUUGGAGCAAUCUGGGAUUGAGGAAGUCGCCCCUGCCCAUCCAACCCAAACCAUUCCAUGAUUCCAGGAGAAUUCUGGAGCUGUCCAAGGUCCUUCCCUGUGGAUCUGCUUCCCCCAUCCAGCACAGCAGCAUCCCUGGGGAAUGUCUGGUGGGAAUGUCGGAUUUUCCAUCUGGAAACUCCACUGGAACCCGGCCAUGGCCAAAACGGGAUCGUCAAAUCCAACGGACACCGGAAUUCCCAACGUAGGAUGGACCAACAGCUCCUCCACGCCCAUCCAGGAUGGAAUUCCCGCUCCUCUGGAUCCCAGAUUUCUGUUCCAGGUGCCACCAUCGAGCUCCACAUGCUCCUCCAUCCUUCAGUUUGGCUCAACCAAAAAUUGACGGAUUUUUCUUGGAAUUUUUCGCUUCCAAGAUCUUCCCAAUCCAUCGGAGCCAUGGCUUGGUUUCCAUCCAUCGUUUUCCCGUUUCCCGUCAGUGUUAAUUAUCCGCAUCCAAACGAGCUCCAGGCCUCCUCCCAUCCAUCUCCAACGAGGUUUGGAGUUGAUGGAUGGGGGAAUCCAUCCCAAAAAUUCCGACCAAAACGGGAUCGUCAAACCCAACGGACACCGGAAUUCCCAAAGUGGGAUGGACCAACAGCUCCUCCACGCCCAUCCAGCAUGGAAUUCCCGCUCCUCUGGAUCCUGGAUUUCUGUUCCAGGUGCCACCAUCAAGCUCCACGUGCUCCUCCAUCCUUCAGUUUGGCUCAUCCGAAAAUUGACGGAUUUUUCCUGGAAUUCUUCAGAGUUGUCAUUUCCAAGAUCUUCCCAAUCCAUCGGAGCCAGGGCUUGGUUUCCAUCCAUCGUUUUUCCUUUUCCCCAUCCAAACGAGCUCCAGGCCUCCUCCCAUCCAUCGCCAACGAGGUUUGGAGUUGAUGGAUGAGCGAAUCCCAAAAAUUCCAGCUGGGGGGGGGGACCUGGGCAGGUCAAUAUUUAACCAGGAAUUCCGAUUUUCCCGGCUUUCCUGAGGGCAGGGAUGCGACAGAGCGCGGCCUCCACCCAUGGCCAGAUGUUUUUUCCAAGGUUUUUAAGGCCAAUCCUUAUGGAUUUUGCUCGGUCAACAGAUUUCUUGGAUUAAAGGAGGAAUUUU
rnacentral:lncRNA from 1 species